UAAGACAUAGUCGCUCCGUCCACAGAAUUCGCUGCUGGGGAUGAAAUCGUACUUUGGCUACCGCUACCUUGGGAUCAGAUGAAGUUGGUUAUGGCUUCCGCGUUAUUCGAAGUAUUAUUUCUUUAUUUAAAGACGUUUUCUGGUCUUCAGUCCAGAUGGUCACCUCCUACCCCUGCCUCCCAGGGGGCCCAGCUGAAUGUGUGGGAAAGAGUCAGGCAGGAGGCCACACAACGUGCAACCCUUUUGAGCCUCAGCGUGCUUCAAGGACUGGACUCUGGAUUUAAGACAAGCACUGCAUCCUGGGAAAGAUGGAGGUUUGGGUUUGCGGAGAACAUCACCAAGGAGUUAGCAAGCCAGUGAGGAGUGUCUGUGGUACAUGAAGCACUAGCCCAACCUGAGCUGACACUCUGAUGGAUGCAGACGUGUUUUGCACUGUUCUGUGUGUUUUUUUCCACUUAUCACUUGCCGGUUGUGUGUCACACUGUGGUCCUGGGCGAUGUUUUGCCACCGUAUACCUGUAUACAGUAUAGAUGGUAUGACAAUAAAGCCCACUUGUCUUAUCAUUAAACAAGCUACGCUAAA